rnacentral:rRNA from 1 species
GACGAACGCUGGCGGCGUGCUUAACACAUGCAAGUCGAGCGGUAAGGCCCUUUCGGGGGUACGACGAGCGGCGAACGGGUAGAGUAACACGUGGGUGGACCUGCCCUCCAGCUCUGGGAGUAAAGCCUCGGGAAACCGGGGUACGUAAUACUGGAUAUGACUCCAUGACGCAUGUUGUGGGGUGGAAAGCCUUGUGCGGCUGAGGAUGGGCCCGGCGGCCUAUCAGCUUGUUGGUGGGGUGGAUGGCCUACCAAGGCGACGACGGGUAGCCGG